rnacentral:lncRNA from 1 species
UCAAUUAAUUUAUAAUAUAAAAAUCAAAUAUACAUCAAAUUCUCCAAGAGUUGCAUAUCACAAACCCACUCAAGUCCAAACGUUCAUACAAUCCCUAAUAACCACUAUUACACAAGAUGAAAUCCAAAACUCAAACCAUACAUGAGAUAAUCCAUCCGGUCACAUAAAUACGUGCUACAAGCACUUCCUUCGUCUCGAACCCUGUGGAGGGGAAUAAAAGUAGUUUUGGGGGUGAGCUAAAAGCUCAGCGAGUAACCAAUAAAAUCGGUAAGCAAAUCAGUUUCACAGUCGUUCAUUUCAGUGAUGUCAUGAUUCUAAAAUCAAAUGUACAUUUAUUGCUCUCGUGAGCCAGUGAAAUUAUUGUACUUAAACACCCAACGCUCCAAACAAACAUUUAACAGUAAACAGUCAGAGGGGGAGCCAUUUGCUCCAGAUGAACAGUACAUAGAGGUGGAGACGUUGGUGUUCAGCACACAAAUUCCAAGUACUCAUUUAAGCCAAACGAUGUCAUGGGCCACAUGCAAGCACUCAUGAUAUGCAAUCAAGUAAAUAGUGCAAGAAACGGUUCAUAAGUAACUUUGGUAACAGUUUAGGGUCACUCACCUCCACGGCUCAGAACCCAUCCGUCAUAUACCAUU